rnacentral:rRNA from 1 species
CAGCCGCCACGGUAAUACAGAGGGUGCGAGCGUUAAUCGGAUUUACUGGGCGUAAAGCGUGCGUAGGCGGCUUUUUAAGUCGGAUGUGAAAUCCCUGAGCUUAACUUAGGAAUUGCAUUCGAUACUGGGAAGCUAGAGUAUGGGAGAGGAUGGUAGAAUUACAGGUGUAGCGGUGAAAUGCGUAGAGAUCUGGAGGAAUACCGAUGGCGAAGGCAGCCAUCUGGCCUAAUACUGACGCUGAGGUACGAAAGCAUGGGGAGCAAACAGGAUUAGAUACCCCCGUAGUCCCUGUCUCUUAUAC